GACGGUGCCAACGAGUCUGAUCUUCUAGCCCGAAAGGGUUGGGUAAACUGGUCAAUCACCGUCAUGACAGGGAUCGGGGCUUGGAAUUGUUCCCCGUGAACGAGGAAUUCCUAGUAAGUGCAAGUCAUAAGCUUGCGCUGAUUACGUCCCUGCCCUUUGUACACACCGCCCGUCGCUACUACCGAUUGAAUGGUUUAGUAAGGUCUUUGGAUUGGCGCCAUUGUAGCAGUUGCCGUAAGGUAGCUUGCUCGACAGGUGCUAAGAAGAUGACCAAAC
rnacentral:rRNA from 1 species